rnacentral:pre_miRNA from 1 species
UUGCUACUCCCUCCGUCCCAAAAUAAGUGUCUCAACUUUGUACUAUCUUGUACUAAGGUUGAGACACUUAUUUUGGGACGGAGGGAGUACAUG